ACCAAACCGGCUACGGACCCUUUUAGACCCAAUAAUCACGAUCACCACUCGGGCCGCCGGUGUUACCGCGGCGGCUGGCACCGGUCUUGCCCGGCCCUUGCUAACAGGUGUAUUUUACACACCUGGACAGCCAGCAUAUGAUGCUAGCACUCGGUGUCCCCUUAUCACGGUUUCCCGCAUUGUAAAGUUUUCGCGCCUGCUGCGCCCCGUAGGGCCUGGAUUCAUGUCUCAGAAUCCAUCUCCGGGCUCUUGCUCUCACAACCCGUACCCGUUGUAGGCUAGUAGGUACAUUACACCCACUACUACCUGAUAGGCCGCAGACCCAUCCUUGGGCAGACGAAUCCAUUUUACGCAUAAAGCAUUCCAGCAUAUGUGCGUUAUCCGGAAUUAUCCCCAGUUUCCCGGGGUUAUGCCGGACCCAAGGGCAGGUUAUCCACGUGUUACUGAGCAGUACGCCAUGUUCACGAAGAACAUAUGACUCGCAUGGCUUAGGCGAACACCGAUAGCAGUAACCUCUGGCAGGAUCAACCGGA
rnacentral:rRNA from 1 species